UACGGAGGGUGCGAGCGUUAUCCGGAAUUAUUGGGCGUAAAGAGCUCGUAGGCGGUUUGUCGCGUCUGCCGUGAAAGUCCGGGGCUCAACUCCGGAUCUGCGGUGGGUACGGGCAGACUAGAGUGAUGUAGGGGAGACUGGAAUUCCUGGUGUAGCGGUGGAAUGUGCAGAUAUCAGGAGGAACACCGGUGGCGAAGGCGGGUCUCUGGGCAGUAACUGACGCUGAGGAGCGAAAGCGUGGGGAGCGAACAGG
rnacentral:rRNA from 1 species